rnacentral:rRNA from 1 species
GAUGAACGCUAGCGGCAGGCUUAACACAUGCAAGUCGAGGGGUAGAGGUUGCUUGCAACCUUGAGACCGGCGCACGGGUGCGUAACGCGUAUGCAACCUACCUUUUACAGAGGGAUAGCCCAGAGAAAUUUGGAUUAAUACCUCAUAGUAUAUAACCUUCGCAUGUUGGUUAUAUUAAAGUUUCACCGGUAAAAGAUGGUCAUGCGUCCUAUUAGCUAGAUGGUAAGGUAACGGCUUACCAUGGCAACGGUAAGUAGGGGUCCUGAGAGGGAGAUCCCCCACACUGGUACUGAGACACGGACCAGACUCCUACGGGAGGCAGCAGUUAGGAAUAUUGGACAAGGGGCGCAAGCCUGAUCCAGCCAUGCCGCGUGCAGGAAGGAGCAUCUAUGGUGUGUAAACUGCUUUUGUACAGGAAGAAACACCCCGACGUGUCGGGGCUUGACGGUACUGUAAGAAUAAGGAUCGGCUAACUCCGUGCCAGCCGCCGCCGUAA